rnacentral:rRNA from 1 species
AUGUCUUCACCGCCGCCAAGCCCGUCUCUUCCGCUGCCGGUCACCUCGUCGCCUCCGGCGACCACCACGACCGUCGCCCCGCUCCUGCCCGCGCCAAGAUCCUCCGUCACGCCCGCCCCCGCCGUCCUCACCCCGGAGGAGGUGCUCGGGGUGCUGCGGGACCUAACCCAGGCGGUCCAGGAGAUCCACCUGUUAUUGGCCGGGUCCUACGGGCCGCACCCGGCUGUGUCACCCAUCGUCGCCCCCGCGCCGCCGUGGCUGCCGUGGCAGCCGCUGCAGCUGCCAUCCAUCGCCACCACCGCCCAGCCCUGGCUGCAGCGGCAGCCGCCGCUCCUGGCGGCCUCUGCUGCGCCCGGCGCUCCGCCGCUCCGCCGCAGCAGCCGCUGUUGCUGCCCGGCGCGACACCGCAGCAGCCAUCGCCAGUCAGCUCCGCCGCCCAGUAUGGAUGCCCUACGACGGGACAGCGAUGACCUCGUUCCCAUCAGCGCCGCCGCCAUCCCAGGGCGUCCACAUCCAGCAGAUCAAGUCCCCGCCGUCACCGUCACCGCUUCCGUCUUGGAUCGCUACGUGUCGGCGGCGGUGAGGCUGCAGGCUGCUGCACGCGGCCUCCUAGCGUGUCGGCGUGUGCGGGAGAUGCGUGGUCUGCAGCUGCCGCUCCUCCAAGUUGUCCUUUACUGCGCAAAGGACCUCACUCCGUCCGCUGCAUCGGGGAUCUUGGGCAUGCUGUUUUCCCCGCGGGCAGCAACCUCAAAAUCUGCGACAUCGGCGGUUGGGGGGGCGCACCCCUCCUCGUCAUUCUCCAUCGCAAGCCCUCCACUCUUCUCUGUGCGGUGCGGACCAACAGCCGUCCGGCGGGAAGGAGGGGUGUCACAGACAGGAGCGCACCGUGUAGCACCACUGCAAUCAGCCACCGGCCGCCGCGAGGGCGCCUCUGCUGGUCACUCUUGCGAACACUUCCAGGUGGCCAUUCACAUGCACUCCUUUUGUCCAGGUGGUGUCCAUGGGAUCCAGGUGGCUCUACACGUGCACGUCCGACGUGCGGAUGGUGUCCACUUUUUGUUAAGGGGUCCAAAAUAA